rnacentral:lncRNA from 10 species
UCCAAAGGAGAGGAGAAAGGCCCCCCUGCCUUCCUAAUUCCUCACUCCCUCCUCCCUUCCUUCCGCUGCCUCUGAGUUCAUUCACCCAUGGUUCAUUUAUUCAUCAACUCUGCGAAGCCCUCUCCAUGCCAGGAGAGGCCCUGGACCCUCAGGAAACAAUGAGAGGUCACAGGCCUGCUUUGAAAAGCUGCAGUUCAGGAGAGAGCCAGGCACGUAAACAGACAUUCCCACGGAUUUGUCCUAAAUGUCCCCAAAAGAAGCCCAUGGGCAGGAGCCGCCAGCCAGUCUGGGAGGGGCCACCUGAGCUGGGCCUGCAGCGGUCAGGGGUGUCAGCACAGGAGGGCAGGAAGAGGGUCCGGCAGACCUGGGAGACUGGGACAGACAGUGCCGGUCACCGAGGAGGGGCUCAGGGGUGUGGACUCUCACAGCAGCCGAGGAGGGUGUACUUGGUCCCGGGAGCAAUGGGGGCCAGAGAAGGGCCCUGAGUGAGGCCGCUGUAGGCGUCAGAUGGGACUUAGCAAGGCCACUCCCCCGCAGGUGGCUGCACUGGAGGUGGGGGGCUGCAGAGGCCAUGGCCUUAAUCUUGGGGGUGCAGUGAGGGCCAGGACACAGGCAGAGGCUGUAGGGAAGGAAACCAGAGGGUGAGCUGAGGUCACAGAGCAGCAGAAUCCAGGACCUGGCAGCCCGGGGAUGUGGGGGAGAGGGAGGAGGUGAGGACGGCCCUUGGGACAUGGCCAGCACUUGGUGAUGGACAGCAGGAGAGGCCCAGGAAAGGCUCUUCCAUGCAGCAGCGAGGCCUCUGCAUGCUUCCACGCAGACCAACCCAGGCCUGCUCCCCAAGCUGGGCGCCCUCCAG